GGAAAGGCCCUUCGGGGUACUCGAGUGGCGAACGGGUGAGUAACACGUGGGUGAUCUGCCCUGCACUUUGGGAUAAGCCUGGGAAACUGGGUCUAAUACCGAAUAGGACCGCAUGCUUCAUGGUGUGUGGUGGAAAGCUUUUGCGGUGUGGGAUGGGCCCGCGGCCUAUCAGCUUGUUGGUGAGGUAAUGGCUUACCAAGGCGACGACGGGUAGCCGGCCUGAGAGGGUGACCGGCCACACUGGGACUGAGAUACGGCCCAGACUCCUACGGGAGGCAGCAGUGGGGAAUAUUGCACAAUGGGCGCAAGCCUGAUGCAGCGACGCCGCGUGAGGGAUGACGGCCUUCGGGUUGUAAACCUCUUUCGCCAGGGACGAAGCGCAAGUGACGGUACCUGGAGAAGAAGGACCGGCCAACUACGUGCCAGCAGCCGCGGUAAUACGUAGGGUCCGAGCGUUGUCCGGAAUUACUGGGCGUAAAGAGCUCGUAGGUGGUUUGUCGCGUUGUUCGUGAAAACUCACAGCUUAACUGUGGGCGUGCGGGCGAUACGGGCAGACUUGAGUACUGCAGGGGAGACUGGAAUUCCUGGUGUAGCGGUGGAAUGCGCAGAUAUCAGGAGGAACACCGGUGGCGAAGGCGGGUCUCUGGGCAGUAACUGACGCUGAGGAGCGAAAGCGUGGGGAGCGAACAGGAUUAGAUACCCUGGUAGUCCACGCCGUAAACGGUGGGUACUAGGUGUGGGUUUCCUUCCUUGGGAUCCGUGCCGUAGCUAACGCAUUAAGUACCCCGCCUGGGGAGUACGGCCGCAAGGCUAAAACUCAAAGAAAUUGACGGGGGCCCGCACAAGCGGCGGAGCAUGUGGAUUAAUUCGAUGCAACGCGAAGAACCUUACCUGGGUUUGACAUGCACAGGACGCCGGCAGAGAUGUCGGUUCCCUUGUGGCCUGUGUGCAGGUGGUGCAUGGCUGUCGUCAGCUCGUGUCGUGAGAUGUUGGGUUAAGUCCCGCAACGAGCGCAACCCUUGUCUCAUGUUGCCAGCACGUUAUGGUGGGGACUCGUGAGAGACUGCCGGGGUCAACUCGGAGGAAGGUGGGGAUGACGUCAAGUCAUCAUGCCCCUUAUGUCCAGGGCUUCACACAUGCUACAAUGGCCGGUACAAAGGGCUGCGAUGCCGUGAGGUGGAGCGAAUCCUUUCAAAGCCGGUCUCAGUUCGGAUCGGGGUCUGCAACUCGACCCCGUGAAGUCGGAGUCGCUAGUAAUCGCAGAUCAGCAACGCUGCGGUGAAUACGUUCCCGGGCCUUGUACACACCGCCCGUCACGUCAUGAAAGUCGGUAACACCCGAAGCCGGUGGCCUAACCCCUUGUGGG
rnacentral:rRNA from 1 species